UCAAUCGAAACCCUAAUUGUUCACCUGUAUACGUUUCAUCUUUCUUAAAUUCAUAUUUUUCAAAGUCAAACCCUAGAUCAAGAAAAAAAAUAAGCCAAUGGAUCUUCUGUUGAUUUCUCAAACUCAAACCCCAAUAGCGAUUUCUCAAACUGCACUGAUAUUGUUUCCCACCAUUGAUUUCUUGACCAUCGGAAGAAGAAAUUUCUUGCAGAUCUUCUAUCAUCUCAAGUUGAGCAAACAAGUGGAGGCUACACAAAACCCUCAUCUUAUUAUUAUACAAUCACUCAAUCCACACAAUUAAAAUUCAUUCUCUUCCAAUCAAUCCAAACACACAACAUCUUCUCCCCAAUUCUUGCUAAACCGUUUCUGAAUCCGAUAGGAUUUCAACAACGAAACCCUAAGUUUGGGAUUCAUUUCAGCCUCCAGUUCGUUGAUAAACUGUAGCAGUUAUUGUAAAACAAUGGCUA